rnacentral:rRNA from 1 species
UGGGGAAUAUUGCACAAUGGGGGGAAACUCUGAUGCAGCGAUGCCGCGUGAGUGAAGAAGGUCUUCGGAUUGUAAAACUCUGUCUUCAGGGACGAUAAUGACGGUACCUGAGGAGGAAGCUCCGGCUAACUACGUGCCAGCAGCCGCGGUAAUACGUAGGGAGCGAGCGUUGUCCGGAAUUACUGGGUGUAAAGGGAGCGUAGGCGGGGCUUUAAGUCAGGUGUGAAAUCUAUGGGCUCAACUCAUAGACUGCACUUGAAACUGAGGCUCUUGAGUGAAGUAGAGGCAGGCGGAAUUCCUAGUGUAGCGGUGAAAUGCGUAGAUAUUAGGAGGAACAUCAGUGGCGAAGGCGGCCUGCUGGGCUUUUACUGACGCUGAGGCUCGAAAGCGUGGGGAGCAAACAGGAUUAGAUACCCUGGUAGU